rnacentral:lncRNA from 1 species
GGGGUCCCAGGCUGCAUCACAGAGACAUUCCAACAGCUGGCCUCCCUGGUAAUGCCGUGACUUGAGGCCCCAUUUCCUUAAACCCUUCCCUGGGAAAUAGUGACUUCUGUGUAGUCACCAAGAGAAUCUCCAGGGAAUGUAUUAUGAGGCGUCCUUAAAAAGAGGCCUAGGGGCUUCGUAAGAAAUGGACUGUAGGUCUAGAACAAGUAUUGAUAUCGAACCUCUUCAUCUCAAGUUCAUGUGCCCAAUGCACAGUAGGCUAGUCACUGAGACACCAGUGCUUGGAGAUGGAGAAGCUUUUAUUUGAAUUGGCCAAAAUGGAAGCACCUUGUUCUCUCAAAUGCAAGUUACCAAAGGAAGACAGCAGUGAGUUUUACAGAGCUAAGAACCAGCAAGACCAUAAAGCUGAUCCGAGGAGAAUUCUCAGAACAGAAGUUUAUAUAGAAGCAGGACGCAUGCUGAGAAAAGUCAGCUUGGUUAGAGAAAUCUGCUCAUCUCUGCAGCUUCAAAGCAGCACGCAGGAAUCAGAGAUGCUUACAUCAGCAGGAGACCUGGGAGAUGUUCUAUGGCAUCUCUGCCAUCGUACAGACUUCUCCAUCAAGGGCUUGAGCUGCAAAUAUGAAUAAAAAAAGUUCCCUGCUGUCAAGGUGAUCCUGGAUCAUCACAAGAGAGACAGCCGAUCUAAGUGAAGAG